rnacentral:sRNA from 1 species
GGCUGCUCGGUGCGGUCAAGGUACUGGUUUGCUUGUGCUGGUAGAGGUGGCUAUUUAUUUCUCUGAGCGGUGAUGUGGCCGAGUAAGCAUCAGCAUCGCAUUUGUAGGGGGAUUCUCAUCUGUUGGCAGUGCUUGAGCGCUGACACCGAGACCAUCUCCCUCCUUGCGUUUUCCAAGAAAAGUUGAAUCAAAAUGACACCAGCCUAAGCACAGGCACUUAGAAAUUGAGUGAUUGAGUGAUUGGAUCCUGUUGGUCUCUUCAUCUAACGCGACAAUAAUUAGAGGCUCGGUAAUUUCUCCCUGUUCUGCUGCUUUUUUCUAUUUUCUCCCAUCUGUCAGAACAUAGUCUCCUUGACGGAGAUGAUUGUGCGGAUAGACAUGUUUGUUAUAGUUGCACUGAAAUAUAUUGUCUCCUUCUGAAUGCGACAAGCACUGUGUACAGCCGUAUGGGUAUAGAUGCUGACCAUGCUACAAAAUAUAAUUAUGUGAUUGGGUUGGCUUUUGCUUUCAAAUUUUUUUAAUUGAGA